AGCAGUAGCCGCGGUAAUACGGAGGGUGCAAGCGUUAAUCGGAAUUACUGGGCGUAAAGCGCACGCAGGCGGUCUGACAAGUCAGAUGUGAAAUCCCCGGGCUUAACCUGGGAACUGCAUUUGAAACUGUCAGGCUGGAGUCUUGUAGAGGGGGGUAGAAUUCCAGGUGUAGCGGUGAAAUGCGUAGAGAUCUGGAGGAAUACCGGUGGCGAAGGCGGCCCCCUGGACAAAGACUGACGCUCAGGUGCGAAAGCGUGGGGAGCAAACAGGAUUAGAUACCCGCGUAGUCCCUGUCUCUUAUAC
rnacentral:rRNA from 1 species